UCCCUCUCUCUCUCUGUUUCUCUGGUGCCAUUCUCAGACAACACCCCGGUCCUUAAGGAGUUAGGUAGCCUGUAAAGUACACUACAGAGGGGCUAAGGUGGGAGGUAGUACACUACAGACGGUCUAAGGUGGGAGGUAGUACACUACAGACGGUCUAAGGUGGGAGGUAGUACACUACAGACGGUCUAAGGUGGGAGGUAGUACACUACAGACGGUCUAAGGUGGGAGGUAGUACACUCUGAAGGGUGCAGGGAGAGACAAAGCAAACUAGGAAAGGGUUAAAGUUGUAAAGUAUUAAACUGGGCAACAGUCUGCAGUCUUAACGACGUCAACAUCUUUCCCACGUAACACGAACACGCCGUCUAUAAGAUAAAGGACGCUUUAUUUAACCUUUGUUCAGGAAUGUCGAUGUUGUGAUCGGGAAUGCAAAAAAA